CCUACGGGCGGCAGCAGUGAGGAAUAUUGGUCAAUGGACGAGAGUCUGAACCAGCCAAGUAGCGUGAAGGAUGAAGGCCCAAUGGGUUGUAAACUUCUUUUAUAGGGGAAUAAAAUGGGCCACGUGUGGGAGGUUGUAUGUACCAUAUGAAUAAGGAACGGCUAACUCCGUGCCAGCAGCCGCGGUAAUACGGAGGAUCCGAGCGUUAUCCGGAUUUAUUGGGUUUAAAGGGAGCGUAGGUGGAUUGUUAAGUCAGUUGUGAAAGUUUGCGGCUCAACCGUAAACUUGCAGGUGACACGGGCAGUCUUGAGUUCAGUAGAGGUGGGCGGAAUUCGUGGUGUAGCGG
rnacentral:rRNA from 1 species